AUAGCCGUUGCGAGGGGGAACUCCGCCUCGGAGAGAGAGUGCUAGUGGUAGGACAGAGACUGGGCAUCAUUAGGUUCUUUGGGACAACAAACUUCGCUCCAGGAUAUUGGUAUGGUAUAGAGCUUGAAAAACCCCAUGGGAAGAAUGAUGGUUCAGUUGGAGGUGUGCAGUAUUUUAGUUGUUCUCCAAGAUAUGGAAUAUUUGCUCCCCCAUCCAGGGUGCAAAGAGUAACAGAUUCCCUGGAUACCCUUUCAGAAAUUUCUUCAAAUAAACAGAACCAUUCUUAUCCUGGUAAGACUACACAGUUUUGUGUUCCUAAUCACUAUUUCUUUGCUUUCAUGUAUUGAAAAAUUUUUAUUCUGAGGUAUCGUAUACAAAAGGGUCUAUAAACUGCAUUUGUAUAGUUUGUGUAAUAAUAGAGCAAACAUCUGUUACCUGUCCCCUGGCUGAAGAAGAUGAUGACCUGACCUGUAGAAACCCCUGAGUACCCCAUCCCAUCUCAUCUGCCUUGCUCUUCAUAUACCCCAUCCUCAGGUGAAGGAGUCUUGAAUGGUACAUUAAUUAUUCCCUUGAUUCUCUUUAUCACCCAUAUAUAGAUAUAUCAAUAAAUAAUAUGUGUUC
rnacentral:sRNA from 1 species